rnacentral:lncRNA from 1 species
UUUUUAGUAUUAAAAUAAGAUUUUCAAAUAAAGUCAUUGCAUGAAUAUGUUGCUAUUUGAAAGAAACUUUCAAUCAUGAAAUCCUUAUUACACAACAAGGUAAAACUGAAAAUAUACAUCAUUAUUUCAAUGCAAAAGAGUAUAUGCUUUCUCCCAUGGCUCGUCGUGGAACGACCAUCAUUUUAUGUUAACUAGUAGUAUUGGAGAAUUUGAGGUUGAGCAUUUAAGCCCUCUUGAACACGAAUGGAAGUGCAGGACCAUCCAGGGCCAACAAUCUCUUGCCAUUCUCAAUCAAAAUGCCAGCAAAUCCACACCUCAACCUGCAAUUCGGACAAGCCAUGGAAGGACACCAUCCCAAGUUGUAGCUGGUUCCAUUUCUGUCAAUUCUGAAGAAUCCUGGUACCCCACCAGUCACAAUGAAUCUCCUCCCGGUUUCAGGAUCAGACUCGCCGACUCUCCAAGCUGUCGACUGAAUACAAGUUGUAAAUGCUGAGAAUGUAACAAUAAAGUCAUGAGACUCUCUUACAAUGUUUUCUUCGCCAACGAAAGGCGAAAACGUGACAGGAAAUAAGCCUUCCGAUCCUGAAGUUUCUUUCUACCCAACGUAC